rnacentral:rRNA from 1 species
UGGGGAAUAUUGCACAAUGAGCGAAAGCCUGAUCCAGCAAUGCCGCGUGUGUGAAGAAGGCCUUCGGGUUGUAAAGCACUUUUGUCCGGAAAGAAAUCCUUGGCUCUAAUACAGUCGGGGGAUGACGGUACCGGAAGAAUAAGCACCGGCUAACUACGUGCCAGCAGCCGCGGUAAUACGUAGGGUGCAAGCGUUAAUCGGAAUUACUGGGCGUAAAGCGUGCGCAGGCGGUUUGCUAAGACCGAUGUGAAAUCCCCGGGCUCAACCUGGGAACUGCAUUGGUGACUGGCAGGCUAGAGUAUGGCAGAGGGGGGUAGAAUUCCACGUGUAGCAGUGAAAUGCGUAGAGAUGUGGAGGAAUACCGAUGGCGAAGGCAGCCCCCUGGGCCAAUACUGACGCUCAUGCACGAAAGCGUGGGGAGCAAACAGGAUUAGAUACCCUGGUAGUCCACGCCCUAAACGAUGUCAACUAGUUGUUGGGGAUUCAUUUCCUUAGUAACGUAGCUAACGCGUGAAGUUGACCGCCUGGGGAGUACGGUCGCAAGAUUAAAACUUAAAGGAAUUGACGGGGUCAUAGCUGUUUUCCU